rnacentral:tRNA from 1 species
GACUCUGUAGUGAAGUUCAUGUUGAGUUGCAAGCUCAUUGAUGCACGUUAAGAGUGCCGGAGUCU